CCUGGAUCUGUCAGCCUGAUGUUGGAGGGUUUAGGGCGUCUGUCUCUCCUCCUGUGUGAGGCGUCUCUCCUCCUGUGUGAGGCGUCUCUCCUCCUGUGUGAGGUGUCUCUCCUCUGCGUUUUUUAAAGAGCAUCGUUCCAACAACAGCAACAA